rnacentral:lncRNA from 1 species
GUUGGUUAUGCUUUCUACUGAAUUUACAGUUUGGUUUACUUAUUCCUUCAUUCCAAAGAUUUCUGCUUGGUUUUGUUUUGAAUGAUCUUUUUAUUGAAGUGGUCUUUCACUUCCUGUAUUUUUUCUUUGACUUCACUCCUUAUACUAUCCUUUACUUCAGAUAUCAAUUUAACUAUAUGCAAUCUGAACUCCUUCUUGGACAUUUCUUCUGCUGUGUUAUCAGUGGCUUCUGUUGUUGAAGCAUCUUGGUUUGUUUGGGGCACUUUAUUCCCUUGUUUUUUUUUCAUGUUGUAGUGUUUUCCUAUCUAAAAGUAUGGAUCUAAGGCAGGAUUAAUUAUACCCUGUAGACCUAUAGUGUCUCUGAAGGUUUCCAGCGCCUUGCCUUUAUAUACCCUUAAACCUAAUAGCUCCCACUGAGGCAUCUACUGCUUUCUCACAUUAAACCAAAAUGAUGAGUUCAAUAACUAACUAUAGUACAAACAGAAUAUAUGUUAAAAUGAUUUACAAUUCCAAAUGUUGGAUGAGAGAACAGAGGUAGUGUAGUAUGCAAUAUUAGCAAGGGAAGAAGAGAGAAGCUAGAAGUAAAAAUUCACAGGAAGAGUGAAGAGGAGCCAACAGAGAUUGGCUGUUGGCUGGAGAAAAGUUUGGGGAAAAAAAUCCAAGAAAACAGACAAGUGAGAGGAAGAAUAAGAACAAAGAAAAAAUUAAAGACAUAAGGAUACAACAAAAGGGCUAGGGAUGUGGCUCAAGUGGUAGCGCGCUCGCCUGGCAUGCGUGCGGCCCGCGUUUGAUCCUCAGCACCACAUACCAACA